AGGACGAACGCUGGCGGCGUGCCUAAUACAUGCAAGUCGAACGAACUCUGGUAUUGAUUGGUGCUUGCAUCAUGAUUUACAUUUGAGUGAGUGGCGAACUGGUGAGUAACACGUGGGAAACCUGCCAGAAGCGGGGGAUAACACCUGGAAACAGAUGCUAAUACCGCAUAACAACUUGGACCGCAUGGUCCGAGUUUGAAAGAUGGCUUCGGCUAUCACUUUUGGAUGGUCCCGCGGCGUAUUAGCUAGAUGUGGGGUAACGGCUCACCAUGGCAAUGAUACGUAGCCGACCUGAGAGGGUAAUCGGCCACAUUGGGACUGAGACACGGCCCAAACUCCUACGGGAGGCAGCAGUAGGGAAUCUUCCACAAUGGACGAAGUCUGAUGGAGCAACGCCGCGUGAGUGAAGAAGGGUUUCGGCUCGUAAAACUCUGUUGUUAAAGAAGAACAUAUCUGAGAGUAACUGUUCAGGUAUUGACGGUAUUUAACCAGAAAGCCACGGCUACUACGUGCCAGCAGCCGCGGUAAUACGUAGGUGGCAAGCGUUGUCCGGAUUUAUUGGGCGUAAAGCGAGCGCAGGCGGUUUUUUAAGUCUGAUGUGAAAGCCUUCGGCUCAACCGAAGAAGUGCAUCGAAACUGGGAAACUUGAGUGCAGAAGAGGACAGUGGAACUCCAUGUGUAGCGGUGAAAUGCGUAGAUAUAUGGAAGAACACCAGUGGCGAAGGCGGCUGUCUGGUCUGUAACUGACGCUGAGGCUCGAAGUAUGGGUAGCAAACAGGAUUAGAUACCCUGGUAGUCCAUACCGUAAACGAUGAAUGCUAAGUGUUGGAGGGUUUCCGCCCUUCAGUGCUGCAGCUAACGCAUUAAGCAUUCCGCCUGGGGAGUAGGCCGCAAGGCUGAAACUCAAAGGAAUUGACGGGGGCCCGCACAAGCGGUGGAGCAUGUGGUUUAAUUCGAAGCUACGCGAAGAACCUUACCAGGUCUUGACAUACUAUGCAAAUCUAAGAGAUUAGCGUUCCCUUCGGGGACAUGGAUACAGGUGGUGCAUGGUUGUCGUCAGCUCGUGUCGUGAGAUGUUGGGUUAAGUCCCGCAACGAGCGCAACCCUUAUUAUCAGUUGCCAGCAUUAAGUUGGGCACUCGGUGAGACUGCCGGUGACAAACCGGAGGAAGGUGGGGAUGACGUCAAAUCAUCAUGCCCCUUAUGACCUGGGCUACACACGUGCUACAAUGGAUGGUACAACGAGUUGCGAACUCGCGAGAGUAAGCAAUCUCUUAAAGCCAUUCUCAGUUCGGAUUGUAGGCUGCAACUCGCCUACAUGAAGUCGGAAUCGCUAGUAAUCGCGGAUCAGCAUGCCGCGGUGAAUACGUUCCCGGGCCUUGUACACACCGCCCGCACACCAUGAGAGUUUGUAACACCCAAAGUCGG
rnacentral:rRNA from 2 species